rnacentral:tRNA from 1 species
GCCGCCAUAGCUUAGUAGGUAGAGCACUUCCAUGGUAAGGAAGAGGUCAUCGGUUCAAAUCCGAUUGGUGGCU